rnacentral:lncRNA from 14 species
UCCGGAGGAGGAUGCCAGUUGAGAGCUGGACGGAGGCUGUAGCCCAGGCCAGUGGUCAAACUAGGAGGAGGAGCCAAGAGAGAGUCUGAAGAGAGACCGAUCUCUGUCCUGAAUUCCUGUGCCUGGAAUGGCAUCUGUCUCACUUAAAGCCUUGGCAGCUAGACGGGGUGAUGAUGGCCUGCUGUCCUUCCUUGGGGCUCUACAAAUACAAGUCCUCUUACUGAAUCCUAAAUGGAGCUUCACCCAGUCCACAGAAAUUCAUCCGGCACCUGCCAAUUUGCUGGCAUUGCUUCAAAUGUUGGUGAUACAGCAAAAGGAAACACUCCAAGCCCGGCUUCCUGCAGCGGAAACUCUAGUGAGGGAGACGGAAAAUAAACAUAAUAAAUAAAUAAAGGUGAUUAGUAUUACAG